CCUACGGGGUGCAGCAGUGAGGAAUAUUGGUCAAUGGACGAGAGUCUGAACCAGCCAAGUAGCGUGAAGGAUGACUGCCCUAUGGGUUGUAAACUUCUUUUAUAUGGGAAUAAAACGUUCCACGUGUGGGAUUUUGUAUGUACCAUAUGAAUAAGGAUCGGCUAACUCCGUGCCAGCAGCCGCGGUAAUACGGAGGAUCCGAGCGUUAUCCGGAUUUAUUGGGUUUAAAGGGAGCGUAGGUGGAGUGUUAAGUCAGUUGUGAAAGUUUGCGGCUCAACCGUAAAAUUGCAGUUGAAACUGGCAGUCUUGAGUACAGUAGAGGUGGGCGGAAGUCGUGGUGUAGCGGUGAAAUGCUUAGAUAUCACGAAGAACUCCGAUUGCGAAGGCAGUUCACUGGACUGCAACUGACACUGAGGCUCGAAAGUGUGGGUAUCAAACAGGAUUAGAUACCCGUGUAGUC
rnacentral:rRNA from 1 species